rnacentral:rRNA from 1 species
CCCAGACUCCUACGGGAGGCAGCAGUGGGGGAUAUUGCACAAUGGGGGGAACCCUGAUGCAGCGACGCCGCGUGGGUGAAGGAGCGUUUCGGCGCGUAAAGCCCUAUCGGCAGGGAAGAAGGAGGACGGUACCUGACUAAGAAGCCCCGGCUAACUACGUGCCAGCAGCCGCGGUAAUACGUAGGGGGCAAGCGUUAUCCGGAUUUACUGGGUGUAAAGGGGGCGCAGACGGCAGCGCAAGCCAGGAGUGAAAGCCCGGGGCGCAGCCCCGGGACUGCUCUUGGAACUGCGCGGCUGGAGUGCAGGAGGGGCAGGCGGAAUUCCUGGUGUAGCGGUGAAAUGCGUAGAUAUCAGGAGGAACACCGGUGGCGAAGGCGGCCUGCUGGACUGCGACUGACGUUGAGGCCCGAAAGCGUGGGGAGCAAACAGGAUUAGAUACCCCAGUAAG